rnacentral:rRNA from 1 species
UUAUGGCUCAGGAUGAACGCUGGCGGCGUGCCUAACACAUGCAAGUCGAACGGAGUAAUUAAGCGGAAGUUUCGGAUGGAAGCAUAGUACUUAGUGGCGGACGGGUGAGUAACGCGUGGGCAACCUGCCCUGUACCGGGGGAUAACACUUAGAAAUAGGUGCUAAUACCGCAUAAGCGCACAGCUUCGCAUGAAGGUGUGUGAAAAACUCCGGUGGUACAGGAUGGACCCGCGUCUGAUUAGCUAGUUGGUGGGGUAGAGGCCUACCAAGGCGACGAUCAGUAGCCGGCCUGAGAGGGUGACCGGCCACAUUGGGACUGAGACACGGCCCAAACUCCUACGGGAGGCAGCAGUGGGGAAUAUUGCACAAUGGGGGAAACCCUGAUGCAAGCGACGCCGCGUGAGUGAAGAAGUAUUUCGGUAUGUAAAGCUCUAUCAGCAGGGAAGAAAAUGACGGUACCUGACUAAGAAGCCCCGGCUAACUACGUGCCAGCAGCCGC